CAACCGAUCCCUAAUUUGACUUCUGAGAAAGGCCUUUGAAAAACUCAGGAAAGAAAUUGCACACCAACUGUUCGACAAAAUGCCUACAUGAGUUUCAAGCAAAAGUUAUGCAACUGAUCACUGUGAUUAAUGAUCAUCCAUUUUAAGCUAACGUCCUCAACCUAAAUUCAAGCAAUUUCAGGCCGAUAGAAACAGGCAAAAAAAGAAGUCUAUAAAAGACCUGCACUUUGCCCGUAUAUGAGAUGGGAUUUUCGGUACAAGUUGUACAACAUUGUGCAGUUUGAGUAUCUCAAUGUAUAUGUAUGUCUAGUGAGACAUCUGGAUAUGCAACCGGCACGGUGGAUGCACUGAGGAUUGAAAAUCUCUGGGUUGAAGGGCGUGUGUAAGAGUCAUUACUUCCAGUUACGUUGGCAUAUGGUGUCUGCUGUGGAAGGUAAAUUCAAUUUUAUUUCACACUAUGCCAAAAUAGAUUUGAGGUUGAGCAGGUAAUCAAGGUCCUGGACUUUUGCUUCUGUUUCUCCUGUAUUACUUGCACAGUAUAUAAUUAUGGUAGUUACUUGAUAUUAUUAAUAGACUUGGUGCUUUGUGGAUGAUCCUGUAUAUUGUAUCUUGCAUCCAUCUAUUGGUCUGUGAUUGUUGUUUGUCGAUCAAGAAUUAACCCACAUUGUAUUUGUAAAUAUCAGUCUUCCAAUCUCUUUUGCUUGCCUGUAGAAAUUCUUAGAGGUAGGCAGGUAGCCUUGUGGUUAAUAACCUGAAAAAUGUUCCUGCUCGCUCAAUUGUGCUGCUGAAACUAAUGAAGUAAUGAUCAUCAUGUCCUAGAGUCAGCCACUUUGUUAGACCUUUAGAUUUCAAUGCAAGUCUUUCAUUAACCUACUUAAAACAACAUUUGUAGACCUUCAAAUUUCUCAUAUUCGACUAUAUGAUUUUCAGCACAAACCUGUUCUCAACCCUUUGUCAUUUAGAUAAAAUGUGAUCUAAUUCACUAAGAACAUAUAGAACUACCUGAAAUUAGCUGGAAGACUUUAAUCUCUUCUCUUGAUCGUUUUCCUACUGUUCUGACUCUGAGUGACAUAGGUCAUUUAAUUAGUUUAAAUAAUGAGCUUCAACCUCUAUCUUUAUUGACUUUCCCUUUAUCGUCAUAAGGAUGUUUCUUUCAGUUUUACAAAUGCAUUUUUGAAGAAAAUAUAAAGUCCUAUACAUGUCAUUUGGUCAACUAUAUGGAAGUAAUGUUACAUGUUCUUGUCGUGAUCACAUAGAAAUCAUGGGAAUGCUUUCUGUUAAAUUAUGAAUUUGGUCUGUGGUAGGAAUAAACUGCAUAGAAGCUUUGAAUGGCAGUAAGAAACAAUACAAUGAUAGCAGCAACCAGUGAGAUGAUAGCCCAAGGAUUGUAAAAGUAUUUGUGAAGCAAACUUGCUCUCCAUCUAUUUCUUCUCUUGUUGUAGUAUGCGUUCACUUGUUCGGAUAGUUUUGCAUAGAAACCACCAUGUGCAUCCACUUGCAUUUCUUUAGAUAUGCUCUUGAACAUGUCAACAACUUCAGCAUCAUGUCCAAGAAGAUGCUGAAUGAUUCCACGAUGAUGAAGGUGGCCCACAUCUUCUGGAGAUUUUAUCAAGCAUUCCAUAAAGACAACGUAUGAUGCAAUUACAGCAUCACUCAUCUUCAGAUGACAGUGCUCAAAGGCUGCUAUAUUUAGGAGGAUGGUCAUUGUACUAUCUUGUAUCCAAAUUGUAGGGAUUUCAAGAACCCCGUUCUUGAACCUGACGUCCCAGAAACAGUUGGUUUUCCGCUUUCUGAAUUUUACUCCUCCCUCUCUGAGCUCAGUGACCCUAUGUAUGACUUGUCCUCGCCUUGAAAUUCUGUUCGGGGUUUUAUUGGCAUGUAGCCACCGCUUCAGACACCCAGGGAUAAAGUUAUUACAUACCCUCCAUUGAAAUCCAUGUCUGUUAAUGGUACCCUGUUGAGGCCCAGCAUGGAGUAGACUUCGCCUAAAAACAUCAAGGAUAUGAAGGCACUCUUCCUGCUCGAGUGAAAGUCUCAAUUCAUUGAACUCUUUUAUGGACAUUGGGUUACCUGUCAAGUGUCAACUAACAUGCAUCAAAGGACAAAGGGGACAUGAAGUAAAAGAUGUAGCAGAGACUGUAUGCUGGGAUGCUAGUCAGUAAAAGAUGUAUUUCUGAGCCUUUUUUCAAGGAAGUUGCUCAUAGCUUUCAUACAGAUGGUGGACAAAUUUUUGAAUCUUUAGGAGAUCAGUUUCUUUGCUCCUUUAAUAAGGAAAAUUAAAUUAAAUCGAGGAUUGAGUUGAGGCUGUCAAUGUUCUGGUAAUCUAAUGAACACAAAUUUCCAAGAUUACCUGUCAGCCAUUCGGGAUUGAAGAAGUUCAGAACUAAAGCCAUAGCCUGCUCUCUUUGGUGGUCACCAGGAUUACCAGCUGUGCACAUUAGCCUAAGUAACCUGUCAAUAAUGAAAAGUGGAAUUUGGUUUUCCAGCAUUACCAUGUCUAACAGAAUGUCAUCAAUGGUUCUCUGGUUAGAGAAAACGGGGUUACCACCCGCCCCUGCUCUUGAAUAACAUCUGAAUAGCUCAAGGAUGAAGCAACCAUCAAGGACCAUCAUCUCUACAAACUGAUUGCUGCUGAGAUGCACAGCAUCUUGCUGGUAACAAGCACGCGCUUUUUGUUCAACUUGUUUGACGGAAUCAAGGUAAAGGUUAAGGUCUUGACCUGUGCGUUCUAGGAUCUGUUGCAGGGCGACCCACUUUUGGAGGUCUAUAUCCUGAACUUGUUCACUCCCUAGAUGGUAAGGCCCUAUGGAUACAGUCUGAGGUACAUAGGGUUUCCUGUCUUCUUGGACAUCUCUUAGACGUUGAGGCACUCGAUAUAUGCACCACUUCUCCCAUGGUUUUCUGGCAGUAUAUAGUUGAGCUUCCCUGAGUUUUUCUCUUAUGGAUAUCAACCAGUCUGAUGAUUCUUGAGGCAAUUGGUCUGAUUGUUUAGUUUCUCUGGGAAUAAUGUCAGGUACAGCGUCCAUUUUUCUGAUGUUAGGUGGUCGCUAGACUCGCUGCUGGCAAUCCAUCAAUGAGGAUUAGAAGGCAUAUGCUGAUAAUCUGAUAUGCCAAGAAUAUGCAAGGAUGACAUCUGUGUAUGACUUUUCAGAAUCAGAUAUGAUCAAAUUUCCUAACCCUUAGAAGAUGGGAAUGAAUUAGAAGUGGUCAAAAAACAUUAGUCAUCUAACCCUUGUUUGUUUAUUCAAUGAAAACGUGCAAGCUUUUAUUUUCAUAAUUGUAUCCAACUAAUGCUCAAUUUACCGGGUAAACAUCUUUCUUUAACAGUUUUUUGUGCUAGCAGCUAGCUAUUAAAAUUUGAUACGGAGUAUUCAGAAUAGUCAUGAUCCCUGAAUGACUGCAAAUGAUUGUAGAAAAUAAAACACUGCUUAAUCUCAGGAAGUCUCUUAUCUUCAAAGUUGGAUUGAUCUAAGGAUCAUUAAGUUAGACCUGAGAAUUUCUAGCUGGGAGUCUGCAAUCGAUGGCUGCUUCUGAAAACCAUAUCCCGAAGGGAAUACGAAAUCACGGUGGUGAGCCCGAACGGAAAUCUCAAGUUGCAUUAGUCAGCCAAGGAAGACCCAAGCCGGAAAUAAAUGGCGGGAAUGAGAAUAAAUAACAUCACAAUGUCCAUGGUAGUGAAACUAUAUCCAAGUGUUUUCUGCAGUCCGAAGAACUGAAGUUUGGUGCAUGGGAGGGUGGAGAAAACUACACAGAAUGGAGGCUCAGCUCAGACUCCUAGAACAGAUUUAAUAGGACAGCAGUCUAGCGUCCCCCAGUUUGGUGCUUGGGAAAACGUAAAUAACAUUGGUUACACUUAUUUUGAUAAGAAACAGAAAACUAAGAAUGCUGAGCCCACAGCUCCAGAGAAUGAGCCCCAGAUCAACCAAGACAUACAUCCUCCCACUCAGGCUCUUCCUCCACCAGUAAAACAAGAAGCACGGGCAAAGCCAGAGAGAGGGACAGCAAUUCCAGCAUGGGGUGUGUGGAACACUGAUCCUCAGCAAGCUGAGGGGUUUUACGGGUGCUUUCACAAGGGCUAAAGAGGAAAGGAACACACCCCUCAACUCGAGCGCUCCACAACGCUAUCAUAAUGUCCGUCAGAAUUGUUUUACUAUGGCAAGGGCUCCUCUACUGGAUGAGGAUUCGAUUUGUGAAAGAACUCGGGAUCUAGCUUGGGGAGAUUAUGGAGGAGGUCGAAGAUUAACAGUUGAACCAAUUGGUAACUCUGGAAAUUUAUCUCGGGGCUUCCCAGCUUCUACAGUUGGAUCUAAAACUGCUCUCCUUAAGAAAACCAAACUCUUACAGCUUUGGCAUAUGUUCCACAAGAAAAGUCUUUCUUUCUUUAAGAAAGCAACAUCCGUUCCAAGGGGCUGCUAGAUCACUUUCGGCUUCAAGGAUGCUGAUAUGACCCUCAACAUCAUCAUUCAUAUCAUCUGCCAACUUAUCACUCCAACCACGAGGAAAGGCAAGUCUUUUCAUUUAACUACUUUCAAGAUAGAUGGAGAGUUGUUUGGUUUUGACUUUUGAAGAAAUGGUAUUCAGUUUCUUGAGGCAGCUAUACAGUGUAAUUUAAACCAGUUUUGGAUAGACUUCCUACUUCCUAAGUUUCCUGACUCCUGACUCCUGACUCCUGACUCUUGACUCUUGUAAAUACUAUAUCCUCCAUACCCCCUCGUAUAAAUAUGGCCGUUUGUUUUGUAGCUAUAUCUUAGAUUUUAUACUUUCUAGUUUUGGAGUUUGUAAGAUUUAAGCUUUUGGUUAAAUGCCAUAAUAUGAUGUACAUUCAUAGCUGAUGUUCAUGAUCCAA